AUCUAAAUCACUUAUCGAGGAACAAUUGGAGGGCAAGUCUGGUGCCAGCAGCCGCGGUAAUUCCAGCUCCAAUAGCGUAUAUUAAAGUUGUUGCAGUUAAAAAGCUCGUAGUUGAAUUUCUGAUUAUGAAUGUACUGGGUAACCGGUCCAUUUAUAGUCAUCCACAUGAGAACCUUUCUCGGCCUUCACUGGUCGGUUGGGGGAUCAUGUACUUUACUUUGAAAAAAUCAGAGUGUUUCAGGCAGGCGUUUGCAUGAAUACACAAGCAUGGAAUAAUGGAAUAGGACUAGGGGUCCAUUUUAUUGGUUAUUGGACCAUAGUAAUGAUUAAUAGGGACAGUUGGGGGCAUUAGUAUUUAAUUGUCAGAGGUGAAAUUCUUGGAUUUAUUAAAGACUAACUUAUGCGAAAGCAUUUGCCAAGGAUGUUUUCAUUAAUCAAGAACGAAAGUUAGGGGAUCAAAGACGAUCAGAUACCGUCCUAGUCUUAACUAUAAACUA
rnacentral:rRNA from 1 species